UUACUGGGCGUAAGCGCACGCAGGCGGUCUGUCAAGUCGGAUGUGAAAUCCCCGGGCUCAACCUGGGAACUGCAUUCGAAACUGGCAGGCUAGAGUCUUGUAGAGGGGGGUAGAAUUCCAGGUGUAGCGGUGAAAUGCGUAGAGAUCUGGAGGAAUACCGGUGGCGAAGGCGGCCCCCUGGACAAAGACUGACGCUCAGGUGCGAAAGCGUGGGGAGCAAACAGGAUUAGAUACCCUGGUAGUCCACGCCGUAAACGAUGUCGACUUGGAGGUUGUGCCCUUGAGGCGUGGCUUCCGGAGCUAACGCGUUAAGUCGACCGCCUGGGGAGUACGGCCGCAAGGUUAAAACUCAAAUGAAUUGACGGGGGCCCGCACAAGCGGUGGAGCAUGUGGUUUAAUUCGAUGCAACGCGAAGAACCUUACCUACUCUUGACAUCCAGAGAACUUUCCAGAGAUGGAUUGGUGCCUUCGGGAACUCUGAGACAGGUGCUGCAUGGCUGUCGUCAGCUCGUGUUGUGAAAUGUUGGGUUAAGUCCCGCAACGAG
rnacentral:rRNA from 1 species